UACAGAGGUCUCAAGCGUUGUUCGGAUUCAUUGGGCGUAAAGGGUGCGUAGGUGGCGAGGUUAGUCAGGUGUGAAAUCUCGGGGCUCAACCCCGAAACUGCACUUGAUACUGCCUUGCUGGAGUACUGGAGAGGAGAUUGGAAUUUACGGUGUAGCAGUGAAAUGCGUAGAUAUCGUAAGGAAGACCAGUGGCGAAGGCGAAUCUCUGGACAGUUACUGACACUGAGGCACGAAGGCCAGGGGAGCAAACGGG
rnacentral:rRNA from 1 species